UCAGUCUAGCUACCUCAUGAAUGAGAAAAGAUUGAGGCUAGACAGGUACGAAAAUUAUUUUCACACUAGCUAAUAAUAACGUGCAAAGUAGGCAAUUCAUGAAAAUCCAAAAUGAAGCCGCAUACACCCAAACCCCAUCUCUUUAUCCUUCGAAUCUCUCGCCCUCCCCCAUCCCUCUGUUACCCCGAUUCUCCCUUAUUAGAAGCCACCCAUUUUCUCUCCAUUAUACACCAUUCUUACUCCCACGACAACAAACACCGUUUCACUGCUGGAGCUGACUUUUCUCUACAGGCUAUUCAGGUUGAUCCUCAGAAUGUUGAAGUUGUAGUGCUGCAUAGCAAUGUUAGGUUGGUGGCAAGAGCUCGUGCAAGAAGUAAUGAUCUCUUCAAAUAUGAGAGGUACACCAAAGCUUGCUCAGCAUAUGAGGAGGGUCUCAAGCUUGACCCUUCCAACUUUCUUCUUUACUACAAUGCUUGUUUGUUUAAGCUUGGGUUGUGGGAAAAUCCGUUGAAAUUGUGACCAAGUCUUAAGUAUGCAACCCAAUUACACAAAGGCCCUUAUUCGAAGGGCUACCUCAAACAUCAAGUUGGAAAAGUGGGUGGAUGCAAUACAAGAUUAUGAGGUCUUGAGAAAGGAACCUCAAGAUGACAAUGAAGUUGCAGCCAUCACUUUUCCUAUGAACGCCGGAACAAUGUUCGUCGUCGUCUUCGUGGUAGCAGGAAUGGUGUUCAUCAACGGCAUUCCUUCUGUUCGUGGUGUGGGAUCGCUGCCUCAAAUGAGAGAAAGGGGGUGGCUUCUAACAGGGGAGAAUCAGGGUAAUAGAGAGAUGGGGUAGGGGGGAUAUUCGGAGGAUAAAGAGAUGGGAUUUGGUUGUAUGCGGUUCCAUUUUGGGUUUUCAUGAAGUGCCUAUGUGGCACGUUAUUAUUGGCCUAGUGUGAAAGGCCUAGUGUGAAAAUCAUUUUCAUACCCGUCCAGCUUCUAGAUUUUCUCCUCAUGAAUUUAUCCUUCUAUUGUUCAUAUAUUAUAAUUUUUUUUAUUAUUUUUUUAAUUUAACGGUUACAAAA